rnacentral:rRNA from 1 species
UACGUAGGGUCCGAGCGUUGUCCGGAAUUACUGGGCGUAAAGAGCUCGUAGGUGGUUUGUCGCGUUGUUCGUGAAAACUCACAGCUUAACUGUGGGCGUGCGGGCGAUACGGGCAGACUUGAGUACUGCAGGGGAGACUGGAAUUCCUGGUGUAGCGGUGGAAUGCGCAGAUAUCAGGAGGAACACCGGUGGCGAAGGCGGGGUCUCCUGGGGCAGUAACUGACGCUGAGGAGCGAAAGCCGUGGGGAGCGAACAGG